UUCAUGCUCUCUCUCUGUCUCAAAAAUAAAUAAAUGUAAAAAAAAAAAUUAAGAAAAAAAAAAAUGUGGAUUCUCAGGCCCCACCCCGGACCUGCUGAAUCAGAAAACCAAGGAGCAGGGCCUACCCAGCAGUCUGGGGCUUGGCACACUCUCACGGGGAUUCUGACUCGAGCUCACGUUUGCGAGGCCCUGUUUUCUAGUCCCUCGGCCUGUCUUGUUUGCAGGAAGGAAAGAGAAAAGGAGCCACCCUCCUAAAGAACCACCCCCCCACUCCCUCAAACUGCCCCCCCCCCCCACAUUCGUGACUCCACACUCAGUUUUGGUUUGCGACUUCGAAAGUUUCAUCCGCACAGUUAGGUUUCUGGUCCUAAUUUAUGGUUGGGUUCACUGUACUUUUUUUUUUUUUUUUUUUUUUCUAAAUUUCAUUAAGCCGUGCCAGUGACAUGGUGAUUGCUGUUAGGGUGUGGCAGGAGAGAUUUAUGAGUUUUCACAAAAGUGGCCAAAACUCUAGGCGGGCAUUAACAUACUGAGUUUUAAAUUAUUCUUGGGACUUUUUUGAAAGCCGCCUGCUUUAAUCCUCUUGUCAGGGAGCUGCCGAGUUAAAAAAUGAUCGCCGAAGCAGCUUUGCCAGCUUCACAGGGAAAGUCAGCCGUGAGAGCUCGUCCCUGUCUCUGGGCCCAUGUGGCCAAUGAAGAUAGUUUUUAGAGAAAGUGAGCAGCCAUGACAUUGGUUCUGAGGAGAGGAGCAUUAUGGGAGGCCUCUUGGGGGUGAGCAUGGGGUCACCCUGUAGGCACCGCAGCGUUCACGCCGCUCCUGACGGGGUGACAGCAGCCCAGUCUCUGUGGACUGGACUGGAGACCUGGGAGGGCAGGAUGCGGGUCCUGCUUCUCUCUUCACAAGGAGCGUGACCUUGGGCAUUAGCGUUUCUGACUUUGGGUUUCUUCAUGUACAAAAUAGAGGAGGUUAUACCAGGUGACUUCUAAGGGUCCUUUCAGCUUUAAAAUUUAUGACUCUGGGAUUCCUUCUCCCAUCUGCCUCCCUGCACCAUCCUUCCCCUUGUGUACAGAAGCAGUCGAAUUUAUUGAUCCCUCAGAGGCUGUGUCACCCACUUCUCCUUCCUCUAUGCCCCUUCGUCCCUUGAGAGCCUCUUGUAGGGCUUGAAAAAAAAUAAAAACACAUACAGUGGACACUUCUCUUCAGCUGCUCAGAAGUCACCUGCAAAUCGGCUUCUUGAAUUUCAUACGGAGGGGUGAGGUGGGCCCCCGAAGAUGACAGAGUCUGAGUUGGGCAGGGUAGGGGUUUCAUUAUCCAGAAGUCCUUCAGAGAAACUUGAAAUGAAAACAUACAAUAAUACUGUCUUCCCUCAGAAAAUCAGGACUCCCGGCCUAAUCCCAUUCCCACUUGCCCUGUCCUCUGAAGAAACCGAGCUGCUAAAAACACAGCAGAGGUGAGACAGAGGACAUGGUUGCUAAUUGCUGUUGAGCAUUCUGGGAGAGGGGGUUUAGGGAAUGUCCUAUCAGCAUCUCACAUUUGCCUCCAGUUCUGGGAAUUCUCCCGUCUUUGGUUAGAGCCGUGUCCUUGGGUAACCUGGCCAAGCGGGCCAUUUGCUGUUGAAGCGCAUAAAGGCAGACAUCCUCUUGAUUCCCUUCAGCCCAUUUAACCAAACUGAAGGUUCAAGGUUAGACGACCCUUUGCAGGCUUGGGCCGUGCUGGGAGAAUUCAUCUCACAUCCCAAAUUCUCACGGGAGCAUAAGAUGGGAGGAGAGGGGGUCGUCAAGCACGUGUCGCCUAUCGCCACUUACUGUCUCAGGAAAGUGCUUUUCACGAUCCUAUAAGAUGUGCCAGGUAAACUUAAGGACAGUAGUAACGGGACAGCUUCUUGUCAGACUGAGCGCAUGCCAGCUUUCCUCCUCUUUAUGCCCUGUAACCUCCCGAAACGGCAAGCCCCUGGAAAAUUCCUUUCACGAUAAGGCAGGGAAAGAGUUCCUCUCGUGAAACCAUUCUGAGUAUAUUUCCUUCUCAGGAAAGUUUCCGAUUCCCGGGUGAGGGCUGAAAUACAAAGUGGGGAAAGGUAGCUUCAACUUGCUUUAGGCUUUUUCCCUGACACGGAGGAGCGUAUUUGUGAUAUACCGGGAGAGUCCGCCAGCUCCGAAGUCUUCAUUUCACAUUGGGUAACAGGCCCUGUCAGUGCCAACAGUGCCGACUGGAGACCAGCAUAAGGGUAGGGACGUGGGGAGGCUUAGGCGUUAGGAAACAUUGUAAGACUCGGGUUCAGGCAGGUGGUGUCCAAGCACUGAACUCUCGUUUCUCUUCGCUGGCUCCAUGGCCGUGUAAUUGUUCCCCUCCUCUGAAAAGAGCUAAGAAUUUAUGAAGAGUUGCAGUAUUUCAGAUUAGAGUCCUCGAGAAUCUUAUUUCAAAGGGGCACUGGGUUAAGGAAUCACAAGACCUGGUUUUCUGUUGGGAUUUUGCUGUCAACCAGCCUUGUGAUGCUGGCUGGGUAUUUUCCUUUCAGCCUCGGCUUCCUCAUCUGCCCUUUGAGGAUGUUGGUCUAGAGCACAAAUGGCACAUGAUGGCCCGUGCCCUGAAGUGGCUCCUUAACCAGAGUAUAGCUUUCUUUCCUUGUGAUUCCAGGUGAGGCCUCAGAAUCCCUCUCAACACAGUGCCUCCAAGCAGCCAUGACCCUUUCAGAGUUCAGAGUUGACCCUUUGCAUGAAAAUGUUUUGCCAUCUUUCUUAGAAGCUUGGAAAUGGGCGUGAUGUCACCAGAGCAUGUAGGAGUGGUACUUCACCAGGCCUUGAGAUUUGGGGAGCAAGGAAGGCUUCCAGGAGGAGGCAACUCCAGAGCUAAAUCUUGGAAAAUGAAAGACCAGGGCUUGGGAGAAAGGGUCAUCUGGGUACAGAGAACACAAGGAAUAAAGACAAGAGUGGAGAAAAACACAGAGUCUGCUACAUUUUUAUUUUGACGGUAUAUAAGGUGUCACAUGUGGGACAGCAGGAGAUGAGGCUGGAAAGAAGGGAAGAGACCAGAUCAAGGAGGGUCUUGGAGACCAAGCUUUGGAGGUGUGGUUUUGCUGACCUGUCUCUUGUCUUUCAUGCCCCAGCCUUGCCCCUCUCAUGCUGGCUGGUGGUUUCUGAGUCUGUACCUCUCUGCUUCUGUCUUUUGUUACCCAUUUGACCCUUCAGUUGUCCCUGGCUCUGACUCUCUCUGCGGCUAACAUUGUUCCUCUCCUGACCUCUGUCCAUGUGACCUAACCAGGUACUGACCCCUUGACCGGAGGCCCACCCCAGAUGCUUGUCUGUUCUUCAACGUUCUGAGCAGCUCCGCAUCCAAUUUCUCUACUUUCUGUGUACAUCUUAUUCUUCGCUGACCCCUUACUCUCUCCCAGUGCACACACACACGCACACACACGCGCGCACACACACUAGAUCUGAAGCUUACAUCAAGGGCACUUAAGAAAUAUUACAUAAUGACAGCUUUCUUCAGAUAGAGUUUGGGCCAGUUAGAAAAAGAAAAAUGGGCUCAUUUGCAGGAUCAUAUCAGCUCGCACAUGGAAGAGGGUCUUUUGAGGCUCUAAUGGGCAGGCAGCUGAUUCUGACAGCAGAAUUCUGGGUCCUUGAUCUUCCCAAGACAUCUCCCCCCUGUUUUGAACAUUAGCUGUGGUGUGGGUCCUUCCCACGGAGAACUGUGAAUCCUAUUCAGCCGCCUCCUUGUGAUUUGGACAUGAACAGGGAGCUUUCUCUGUCUACUUAAUUCCCUUUGAAAGCUUUCUCGUCCCACUAUUGGGCACUUCAGAGAGAGCACUGCAUUAAUAUCUUCUGCUCUGGUUUCAACUUGGUAUGGUUUUGUGAUCUUAAAAUAGAUGGAAUUACCACGGCAAGCAUUGUUCUGCCUUGAACUUAAAGUCUCAAGAGCAAGUACUUCUAAAAAAGUUAAUCCUUUUCUUAUUUGCAAGGAUUCUGGACUGCAGUUUACAAAGAAAUAUGCUAAAUUAUUUAUAAUCCAGGAUUAUUGCAAUACCAAAGAUUUCCUUGCAUAACAUCCCAGCUCCGCUAAAAUGGCACAAACAGAACAGCCAUCGGCCACACCUUAUCUCAGCUGCUCUCUGUGGUCCCUGCAAAGGGGCCCCGGAGCCAAGCGCCCUGACCAUGGGAGCACAUGUUCUCCGAAGCAUCAGCCUCCAUGGCUCACAUGCUCACAUUUCUGCCGCUGGGGCCUCCGGGCAAGAGAAAAGCUGGGAUGGUGUGGACAGGCAGCAUCCUUCUUAAGAGCAAACAUAUCGUUUCUUAAAACGUGUACCCGCAUUCUUCUGAGAGGAGCUGGGAUGGCCAAUUGUUAAAAAGCGGUAUUAAUGAGACAUUUUAGAAACAUGCAGUCUUCUAGGCCCAUGUCCACAAUUAAUUUUGAGAAAACUCAUUGAGUUCCCAGUUUGCACGGAUGUAAAGUCAGGAGUUUAGGAUAAAGGAUCCUGAAAGUGCCUUCAGUUCUAACAGCAGGCAGCUUGAAACAAGUACUGACCUAAUGCACAGAUGCUUAUGUGUCCAGCACAGAUCAUUGGAAAAUAAGACGGUGACAUCUGAGUUACUCAUUGUGGGAAGAUGGAGCCUGAGAAUCCUAAUCCCUGCCGUGAGUAGUGAACCUUCUAGAAUCCAUGUAUAUAUGUAUAAUACAUUUCCCUCUAUUUUCAAAAUCGGGAAAUUACUUGAUGAUGUGUUAUAAUCUCUUACCUUUUGUAAGUCAUUCCCAGGUUUCAGAAGUAAUCUUCUUAUACUUUUAAGGUAUUUUUACAUCCAUUGCCAUCCAUCGGGGUUGUUACGAUUCACAUUUCCUGCAGCAGUGUAUAUUGGUUUCUGUGUGUGGGUUCCAGCUGGUAUAAGUUUAAGUCUGCUAACGGACACAGGUGAAGGAGGCAAGACAGCACUGUGUGUUUUCCCGGCCUGCGUCUGCCGCCCUUAGACGUUUUAACUUGGGAGAUCUGGUAUCUCUGCCUGCAAGGGAGGCCAGAUCUAAAUUCCAGGGGGACGUGGUGCCUCUUGAGCAUCCUCCCCACACAGAGGUGCUCCCAUUUCAGCUCACCACGAGGCCUCAGACGCUUGUCUGGUGCAGCCGUCCCUCUCCCCAACUCGUGAGCUUUUGACUGUCUAGAACCUUGACUUUGGCUGUCUCCCAAAUCCAUGUGUGUCCCAGUACUCACUCGCAGGUCUGCGGGGCGGGGAAGCCUGUUCACUGGGCUUCUGGGAGGAAAAUGAACUAGUAAGGGUCACAUGCCUACGAUGCCUGCUGGUCUGUGGGUAUUCCAGAAAGGUUGAUUCCUUUCCCUCCCGCCCUGCCUCGCUUUCACUCUCAGCACCAGUUUCCUCCUCUGCCAAAGGAGGCUGGACUAAGCAAUCAGUCACUCAGCCAACAGUUAGGGACAUCUCUCUCUACCAAGAACCGUGGAGCAUGUGCUGGAUGCACAGCCCCAGAGGACCUAGUUCCUGCUGCCAAGAAGAUCGUAGCAAAGUGGGAAGUAGCCAGCUCCUUCCAGGGUGGUGGUGGGGCAUACAGAGGAUGCUCAUGGGACCGUGCGUGGGAGGCAGACUUAUUCCAAGGGCUGAGGCCUGGCAAGGAGGGGUCAGGAAAGGUACCUCUGAGGUAGCCCUCUUAUUCUUAGCAUCUCUUAGGUGUGAUCAUCUUCUGGGCUCCAGUGAGUAUACGUUGACAAUACACUGUCUUUCUUUCUGUGCUGAAGGUCCAUUCCCUGCUGCCACCAUCCCACUCCUCUGAGCGGAAGGGGUGUUAGGGGCUAGUCUGUCUGCCCCGGGACCCCCAGGGAAGGAGGCUUGUUGCCAUCUCAGGAAAGACUUGCAAAGUGGCGGGCUCCCAUCACACAGGGCACUGGCAGCUUUGGUCUUUGCUGCUGUCUAGAAUUGACACACACCUGCCUAGAAGCUUAAAGGGGAAGAAAAUCUCGAGGUGAGCCAGAAAAGCCCCCAGCGUUAGGAGCGCUGGAGGACAGGUGGUCAUGAUGAGACUCCAUGAAGUGUUAGGCCAUAUGAAGGAAGCUCCAAGGAGUCUGGCUGCUCUUGGGUGAGACCCAGUGUCAUCUCUUGCUUAUCACCGCAGCCAGGCACAGGUGAGGCCGUGGUGUGGCACUUGCGAGGGAACAGCUCCAAGCCUGCCUUAGUGCGUGAGAACAACCAGCCUUUCAAGCUAGCACUGUCUUGCACCAGAGAGAGUGAGCUAUUUUUAAAAGCUCCUUCCCUACCUUCUGCCCAUCCAAAUGCCAAAUAACCACGCGCGUAUAACCCUAAAGAAAGAAAUAGAUGGCCCCGAAGUCACAUCAAAAGUGCCUGUAAAGAUACUUUUUUCUACCUAUUGUAUACUCGUGCUCCUUUGCCUUUUCCUUGUCUCUCUUUCUGCUCUUCUGCUCUUGUCUAUAAUAUGUAGAGCACUUUGCUUUCCCGAACCUGGUUUUAAUCCUGGCAAGGGUCUUCAAUAAUGCUGAGCCUUCUGAAAUUCCUUUAAAACCGCAGUUUGGCUGCCUUUUAUCAUGAACCAGGCGUGCACCCUAGUGACAGCAUGAUAGAGUAGGAACAAGAGAAUGUCUUCACAACUGACCAAAUAACUAGAUCCCUUCAGGCCGUGAAGGGUUGCAAAUCUGAUAUGCUUAACAUCUCUGUUAAAAGAUCAUAGAGGCACUUGAAACCUUUUUACUAAUUCCAGCUCGCUCUCACUCUCGCUCUCUCAUUUUUUUCUCUCCUCUCAGCUCUGGCACAGGAAAGUACAGUGCUGACAAAGAAGCCAGCUUUCUUUUGACCUGUCUUGGUUUUUAUUUGCUACAACCUGAUGAAGAGCAGAUCACUUCCAGGAGCAGUAUAAACUAUUGAGGAAGGCAGUCUUGUGGUCCAGGAGCAGAAGGGAGAUAGUCACAGAUGAUGUUGUUCUAGGAGGCUGUUAGGUUUAAAUGUGGUGACCACAAGUCUCGUCUGGACUUUGGAAAUGGUAGGGAUUUUAGAGUUGUUAGUUGUCUUCCAAGUCUGUGCCACAAACACUUAGCAAGUCUGUGCCAAACCAUUCCAGAAGGGACCCAGUUGUCUACGAAGAAGUCGUGGCCGUAAAACACAUUCAUUGCAAAACCUAGAUGAUGGCGUACUAAUUUUAGUAAUGGCUUAAGUCGUUCUUGAAGAGUUUUAAUAAAGCCUUUCAUCACCCAUAUAAAUCGUUUAUGCAGGAGAAUUUGCUUUUUUCAUUACUGUAGACCCACCUCAGGUGGAGAUCAAAGCUGUCUAUAUUGACUAAGCAAAUGAGUUGAAAUGUUUUUCAGGAGGAAUUGAAAUCCAUGGUUAUAACUGGGUGGCCCUUGGCAGGCCGACUCUAUAAGGAGUUUAACAUAAGCAAGUGUAAGGAAAGGUUCCACAGGAACCACCCAGGCAUGGAAUUUGGUCCUUUCAUGUGGGAUAUUCCUACACUCGGUUGUAGGCAAAACCGUUGCAGCGUAAAGCCUUUGAGACCUACUUAUGCUUCAACCCUGGUGAGCUAUGAGAUGAGAGGGAGGAAAGUUACAGAGGGGUCCCAGCCUAGUCAUGUAACUAGAUCCUAUAUUAGAACCUUCUGGCUUUUUCUUUCUUUCCUCCAUUUUCAGGGCCUCUCUACAUCUUUUUUGUUUGUUUGUUUGUUGGUUGGUUGGUUGGUUGGUUUGUUUUAAUGUCUCUAUUAUGGGUGUUUAGAUGGUUUACCUUCUAUCAAAUCAUGCUGUCUGAUGUAGUUGGGGGAAAUGCUGUCUCCGUACGUAACAAGUUCUUGUCUGCCUUUCCCUUUAAGGACCUUCUGCAUACCAGAUGGAAUUCUUUUAAAGAUGCCCUCUAUUUGGGGAAGCUCUAGCAGGGAGUUGGGUUGAGAUAUAAACAAGACAAACAGGCAGUCAUUUGCCUGGAAAAGUCAGAGUGUCCAGGAAAUGAGGUGGCAGAGACACAAGAGGCAAGGCUGGGUCGAGUGCUGUGGGGAUCACAGCCUGUGGAAGCCUCUGCCUGUGAGCCACGCUCUGUGCUCCGUGCUUUACAUGUGCUUUCUCCUAUAACACUCAGAACAACUCCAUCAAGUAGGGGUCAUUAUCCAUGUUUUGCAGAUGAGGCAGUUGAGGCUUAAAGAGGAUUAUAAGUGCCUGAGUCACCUACUAGCCAAGUGGCAGAGCGGGACAGACACUACUUGCAUUGUCUUGCAUUUCAAGCACAGACGAUAUUUUAUCUCUUAUUUCAGAUGUGUGGGUAGGCAGGUAGACAAAUAGGUAGAUGGAUAGAUGGAUUUAUUUAUUUCUGAGGCAAAACUCAUAGUGAAAACUACCAGCCAUUGUAAGCCUCUUGCCUAGACUAUCUAUUAUUAUGUAACAUGCUACCCCAAAACUUUGGAACUGAAGAAUAAAACCAUUUUAUUCGAUGUCACGUUUUUUGUGGGUUUGGGAUCCAGGCAAAGCUCGGCAAGGCAAUUGUGCUGUUUUGCGUGACAUCACAUGGAGUCACUUGUUGGUUUUCACCUACAGCCGCGCUGGUCUGAAGGGUCUGUAAUGGCCUCACUUGUGUGUUCAGUAGCUUGGCAGGGACAGCUGGAAAUCUAGGGCUCAUUUGGGCUCCCCUCCUUCAUGUGUUCCUAAGUUAUCUCCACAUGGCCCUACCACAGAGUAGUUGGCUUACUACAUGUCACUUUGGGGCUCCAAGAAAAGCUGGUGGAAGCCACCAAUCUUCUUGAAGAAUGAGCCCCAAACAGGCAUAGCUUCAUGUCUGCUCUACCCUCCUGGUGAAAGCACCACAGGGUAGCCUAGAUCCAAGGAGAGAAGAAAUCAACCCCACUUCUGAAUGGAGGGAAUGCCAAAGAACUUGGAGCCAUCCUUCAUCUACCACAAUCCCGUAUGUUCUUUGCAUGGAAUCAAGCGAAAGACUGCUUUUUAGGGGCCAGCUGUGCCAAAAGCCACAUUCAUUUGUGUCGCCUGCUACCUUCAGUGACUCCUGCCUUUGUCUCACCCUUCCUCUAUGUCCCUAAAACCUGUGCUCAAGAAAGAUGAGAUACCUGUGACUCACAUUCCCUUUGGGGGACCGUUUUCAAUGUGAGCUCUAUUUCUCAUCGGGGCACAGAGGAUUUUUUUCUUGUUAAAGGAAUGUGUUGCUUCUCUAUGUUUUGGAGAAAUCAAGAAGGCAAGAGAGAAUGGGUUUGGGCAGAGGGUCCUCGACAGUCUGUGAACUCCAGCUUAUGCUACCUUGAGAGAGUGAUUGCUUGAGUCCGCUCCUUCUGGUAAGGUGUGCACAUGCUCCCUGUCUCUCUUUCUCUGUUUCUCUCUUCUUUCCUCCUGUGACUCUUCUACUCUCUCUCUCCAUGCACACAUGCUGAUUUAUACUUCUAGGUUUGUUUAUUUUCUUCAGUCGCCCCACCAGGAUGACCACAAGUAGUCAAAUAUACAAAAUCGUUGCACUUUUUUUUUUUCCUACCUAAGUGACAUAAGGAUCUAACCAUUCCAAGAAAAGGGCAGAUGACAUUUUUCAGGGUUGCUGUCCCAAUGAGGCAUUUGUGAAAAG